CCUAAGCCAUGCAUGUCUCAGUACAGACUUUACCAAAGUGAAACCGCGAAUGGCUCAUUACAUCAGUUAUGGUUCCUUAGAUCGUACGCAUCCUACUUGGAUACCUGUGGCAAUUCCAGAGCUAAUACAUGCUCACGGUGUCUCCGGCCGGGCAACCGGACGGGGUGCCGUUACCAUUCAAAAGACCAAACGGUCCGCUUCUGCGGGCCGACUCAUUUGGUGACUCUAAGUAACCUCUAGGCAGAUCGCACGGUCAAGCACCGGCGACGCAUCUAUCAAAUGUCUGCCUCAUCACACUGUGGAUGGUGGGUUAUUGGCCCACCAUGGUGAUUACGGGUAACGGGGAAUCAGGGUUCGAUUCCGGAGAGGGAGCCUGAGAAACGGCUACCACAUCUAUGGAAGGCAGCAGGCACGCAAAUUACCCACUCCCGGCACGGGGAGGUAGUGACGAAAAAUAACGAUGCGGGACUCAUCCGAGGCCCCGUAAUCGGAAUGGAUCCACCCUAAACAGUUGGGUGAACCUAUCGGAGUGCAAGUCUGGUGCCAGCAGACGCGGUAAGUCCAGCUCCGAUAGCGUAUACUAAAGUUGCUGCGGUUAAAAAGCUCGUAGUUGGAUCUGGGUCUCGGGCGGUCGGUUCGCCGUCAGGCGUUCAACUGGCCGUACCGGACGUCUUCUCGGUUUCCCCGGUCUGCUCUUCACCGAGUGGACCGGGGGAUUCCGGGACGUUUACUUUGAACAAAUUAAAGUGCUCAAAGCAGGCUAUUCGCCUGGAUGCUCCUUGCAUGGAAUAAUGGAACAGGACCUCGGUUCUCUCUGUUGGUUUUCGAACCAGAGGUAAUGAUUAAAAGGGAUUGACGGGGGCUUGAGUAUUGCGAGGGGAGAGGUGAAAUUCUAGGAUCCUCGCAAGACUACCUACAGCGAAAGCAUUUGCCAAGAAUGUCUUCAUUAAUCAAGAACGAAAGUUAGAGGUUCGAAGGCGAUUAGAUACCGCCCUAGUUCUAACCAUAAACGAUGCCAUCCAGCGAUGCGCAAGGUUCAAGAACACCGUGCGCGCAGCCCCCGGGAAACCUGAGAUUUCGGGUUCCGGGGGGAGUAUGGUUGCAAAGCUGAAACUUAAAGGAAUUGACGGAAGGGCACCACAAGGCGUGGGACGUGCGGCUCAACUUGACUCAACACGGCAAACUUACCAGGCCCGGACACCGCAAGGAUUGACAGAUUGAGAGCUCUCUCGUGAUUCGGUGGAUGGUGGUGCAUGGCCGAUUUUAGUUGGUGGAGCGAUUUGUCUGCUUGAUUGCGAUAACGAACGAGACUCCUGCCUAUUAACUAGGCGUCGGGGUAUGUGUUCCCCCGGCGCAUCAAACCUCUUCUUAGAGGGACCGGUUGUCGCUAAGCAGCAAGAGUGGGAGCUAAAUCAGGUCAGUGAUGCCCUUCGAUGCCCUGGGCCGCACGCGCGUCACACUGAAGGAGACAACGCGUCUUCCCCUGCCGAGAGGUACGGGUAACCGCUGAACCUCCUUCGUGAUAGGGACCGGGGAUUGCAAUUAUUCCCCGCGRACGAGGAAUGCCCAGUAAGCGCGAGUCAUCAGCUCGCGUUGAUCGAGUCCCUGCCCUUUGUGCACACCGYCCGUCGAUGCAUCCGAUCGAGUGAUACGGUGAGGCCUUUGRACCGGCGCCCUGCGGGGGUUCCACCUUCCGCAGGAAC
rnacentral:rRNA from 1 species